rnacentral:lncRNA from 10 species
UUUUAAAAUUGAUUUUUUCCCCAUCCUAAAUCACAUUUUUAGACUAUCUGGUGUGGCCAGCCCUAUCGUAAAUCACAUCACCCAAGGCCUCCAGGCAAACAAAGAUACAAGUUGAGUAUUCUUUAUCCAAAAUUCCUGGGACCAGAAGUAUUUCUAAUCUUAAAUAUUUUGUGAUUUUGGAAUAUUCACAUAUACAGAAUGAGAUAUCUUAAGGAUAGGACCCAAGUUCUAAAAACAAAAUUCAAGGCUGGUCGCAGUGGCUCAUGCCUGUAAUCCCAGCUA